GGGAACUGAAAUAUUAGUAGCACUCAAUUUUUAUUACUUUAGCCAUUUAUUUUUCUUGCAAUUUAAUUUAAUUUAAUUAUUAUUUAUUAACUUCCUUUUUCCUUCUCUUGGUAGGUUUUCAUAGUUUAUGACUAGAAGAAACCCGUCGGGACCAUUACUGUUUGACGAUGAAAUCAAUUGCACAGUUCGUAGAAACCAAAGAGAAAUAAGGCGAAGCUUAAGAUACAUAGAGAACGAG
rnacentral:lncRNA from 1 species